rnacentral:ncRNA from 2 species
GUUUUUGGCUGGGGGUGUCCACCUCUGGUGGACUGAGAGCCCGAGGAGGCGGCAUUCGGGCAACCCUUUGAACCUGAUCCGGAUAGUACCGGCGUAGGGAAGCGUCAAAGUCCUUGC